UACGUAGGGUGCAAGCGUUGUCCGGAAUUAUUGGGCGUAAAGAGCUCGUAGGCGGUCUGUUACGUCGGCUGUGAAAACCUGGGGCUCAACCCCGGGCCUGCAGCCGAUACGGGCAGACUAGAAUUCGGUAGGGGAGACUGGAAUUCCUGGUGUAGCGGUGAAAUGCGCAGAUAUCAGGAGGAACACCGGUGGCGAAGGCGGGUCUCUGGGCCGAUAUUGACGCCGAGGAGCGAAAGCGUGGGGAGCGAACAGG
rnacentral:rRNA from 1 species